GCCGGUUUGGCUCAGUGGAUAGAGCAUCGGCCUGCAGACCGAAGGGUACCGGUUCAAUUCUGGUCAAGGGCA
rnacentral:tRNA from 1 species